GUCAGCAACCCCGCCCUGAAGGACGGGGCUUGCGAGGAGAGAUCCGAGCAAGCCCGAUGUUGACCAGACCGAGCGGUAACCAGUCCGCUACGUUGAGUAGAAGUUAAGGACCCACCCCGGAAUACUUCCUCAGUUCCGGGCUCUGGAAGUUGCAGAUGCAGACAAGCUUCGGGUGAGCACGAAACGGUCUGCGACCGGCGGCCUUCAAAAGCCUCCAGGCUGCUACUCAACAUGGUCGAGGGGAGCGGUGU
rfam:Variovorax sp. JS1663 JS1663_0024, whole genome shotgun sequence.